CUACGGGACGCUCCAGUGGGGAAUAUUGCACAAUGGGCGCAAGCCUGAUGCAGCCAUGCCGCGUGUAUGAAGAAGGCCUUCGGGUUGUAAAGUACUUUCAGCGGGGAGGAAGGGAGUAAAGUUAAUACCUUUGCUCAUUGACGUUACCCGCAGAAGAAGCACCGGCUAACCCCGUGCCAGCAGCCGCGGUAAUACGGGGGGUGCAAGCGUUAAUCGGAAUUACUGGGCGUAAAGCGCACGCAGGCGGUUUGUUAAGUCAGAUGUGAAAUCCCCGGGCUCAACCUGGGAACUGCAUCUGAUACUGGCAAGCUUGAGUCCCGUAGAGGGGGGUAGAAUUCCAGGUGUAGCGGUGAAAUGCGUAGAGAUCUGGAGGAAUACCGGUGGCGAAGGCGGCCCCCUGGACGAAGACUGACGCUCAGGUGCGAAAGCGUGGGGAGCAAACAGGAUUAGAUACCCUCGUAGUC
rnacentral:rRNA from 1 species